AGUUACUGACCGUGGUGGUGGAGGUGACGGUGGGGGCCACGGGCACGAUGUAGUCCUUCAUCCCCUCGUAGAGAACCCUGUGGUGUGACAAUCAUCAUAAACGCGAGCAAGGGGAGGCAGAUAUACGAGAGAUCAAUCAAAACAGGUGAAUACAGAAACAAGAUCAUAACUUUUAAGGGGAAUGAGAGAGAAAUAUUAUAAACGCGAGCAAGGGGAGACAAGAUACGCGAUAAAUAAAUCAAAACAGUUGAAUAUAGAAACAAGAUGAUAACUUUUAAGGGGAAUGAGAGAGAAAUAUUAUAAACGCGAGCAAGGGGAGACAAGAUACGCGAUAAAUAAAUCAAAACAGUUGAAUAUAGAAACAAGAUCAUAACUUUUAAGUGGAAUGAGAGAGAAAUAUUAUAAACGCGAGCAAGGGGAGACAAGAUACGCGAUAAAUAGAACAGUUGAAUAUAGAAACAAGAUCAUAACUUUUAAGGGGAAUGAGAGAGAAAUAUUAUAAACGCGAGCAAGGGGAGACAAGAUACGCGAUAAAUAAAUCAAAACAGUUGAAUAUAGAAACAAGAUCAUAACUUUUAAGGGGAAUGAGAGAGAAAUAUUAUAAACGCGAGCAAGGGGAGACAAGAUACGCGAUAAAUAAAUCAAAACAGUUGAAUAUAGAAACAAGAUCAUAACUUUUAAGGGGAAUGAGAGAAAUAUUAUAAACGCGAGCAAGGGGAGACAAGAUACGCGAUAAA